UGCCAGAGAGGGUGAAAGCCCCGUAAGCGAAAGGAAAGACGACAUGGCGGAAUCCAGAGUACAUCGAGACACGAGAAACCUUGAUGGAAUGAGCGGGGACCACCCCGUAAGCCUAAAUACUCCUUAGUGACCGAUAGCGCAUAGUACUGUGAAGGAAAGGUGAAAAGGACCCCGGGAGGGGAGUGAAAGAGAACCUGAAACCCUGUGUUUACAAGCUGUGGAACAUCUUUAAAUGAUGAACCGCGUACUUUUUGUAGAACGGUCCGGCGAGUUACGCGUGCCGGCAAGGUUAAGCACUUAAGGUGUGGAGCCGAAGAGAAAUCGAGUCUGAACAGGGCGUUCAGUCAGCACGCGUAGACCCGAAACCGGGUGAUCUACCCAUGUCCAGGUUGAAGUUGCCGUAAAAGGCAAUGGAGGACCGAACGCACAUCCGUUGAAAAGGGUGGCGAUGAGGUGUGGGUAGGGGAGAAAUUCCAAUCGAACCCGGAGAUAGCUGGUUCUCCUCGAAAUAGCUUUAGGGCUAGCCUCAUUUUAGUCUUAUGGAGGUAGAGCACUGAAUUUCCGCGGGGGCGUCAAAGCUUACCAAAGAAUAUCAAACUCCGAAUGCCAUGUAGAUGAUGAAUGGGAGUCAGACUGCACGAGAUAAGUUGGGUGGUCAAAAGGGAAAGAGCCCAGACCUACAGCUAAGGUCCCAAAGUGCGUGUUAAGUGGAAAAGGAUGUGGGAUUUCAAAGACAACCAGGAUGUUGGCUCAGAAGCAGCCAUACAUUCAAAGAGUGCGUAACAGCUCACUGGUCGAGAGGUCCUGCGCCGAAAAUGUCCGGGGCUGAAACACGACACCGAAGCUUAGGAAUCACAUAGUGAUUGGUAGAGGAGCAUUCUUAAAACCGACGAAGCUGUACCGGAAGGAGCAGUGGAGGGAUAAGAAGAGAGAAUGCCGGAAUGAGUAGCGAGAGGAAGGUGGGAAUCCUUCCGGCCGAAUAUCUAAGGUUUCCAGAGUAAAGCUGAUCUGCUCUGGGUAAGUCGGGGCCUAAGGAGAGGUCGAAAGACGUAUCCGAUGGACAACAGGUUUAGAUUCCUGUACCACAUAUAAACAGAACUGUGGGGACGCAUGUGGAAAGCAUAAGCCGGGAAUGGAAAUACCGGUACAAACGGAAGAGGUGUCAGGCUGGCAAAUCCGCCUGGCAAGCCAAAGACGUGAUGUGGAGCGAAAUAAAAGUAGCGAAGUAUGUGAGCCAUGUGCCGAGAAAAGCCGCUAUUGUUUUAUAUGUGCCCGUACCGUAAACCGACACAGGUGGAUGAGGAGAGAAUCCUAAGGCCGACGGAAGAAGCAUUGUUAAGGAACUCGGCAAAAUGACCCCGUAACUUCGGGAGAAGGGGUGCCCACUUCAGGGUGGGCCGCAGAGAAUAGGCUCAAGCAACUGUUUAGCAAAAACACAGGUCUAUGCGAAACCGUAAGGUGAAGUAUAUGGGCUGACGCCUGCCCGGUGCUGGAAGGUUAAGAGGAGAGGUUAGUCGCAAGAUGAAGCUUUGAAUUUAAGCCCCAGUAAACGGCGGCCGUAACUAUAACGGUCCUAAGGUAGCGAAAUUCCUUGUCGGGUAAGUUCCGACCCGCACGAAAGGCGUAAUGAUUUGAGCACUGUCUCGACAAUGCAUCCGGUGAAAUUGAAGUACCAGUGAAGAUGCUGGUUACCCGCGCCAGGACGGAAAGACCCCAUGGAGCUUUACUCCAGUUUGGUACUGGGAUUCGGUACUGCAUGUACAGGAUAGGUGGGAGACUGAGAAAUUGGAACGCCAGUUUCAAUGGAGUCACUGUUGGGAUACCACCCCUGCAGUAUUGGGUUUCUAACCAGCCGCUGUGAUCCAGCGGUGGGACAAUGCCAGGCGGGGAGUUUGACUGGGGCGGUCGCCUCCGAAAGGGUAUCGGAGGCGCUCAAAGGUUCCCUCAGAAUGGUCGGAAACCAUUUGAAGAGUGCAAAGGCAGAAGGGAGCUUGACUGCGACACCGACGGGUGGAGCAGGUACGAAAGUAGGACUUAGUGAUCCGGUGGCAUAAAGUGGGAUUGCCAUCGCUCAACGGAUAAAAGCUACCCUGGGGAUAACAGGCUUAUCACUCCCAAGAGUUCACAUCGACGGAGUGGUUUGGCACCUCGAUGUCGGCUCAUCGCAUCCUGGGGCUGUAGCAGGUCCCAAGGGUUGGGCUGUUCGCCCAUUAAAGCGGUACGCGAGCUGGGUUCAGAACGUCGUGAGACAGUUCGGUCCCUAUCCGGCGCGGGCGGAGGAUAUUUGAGAGGAGCUGUCCUUAGUACGAGAGGACCGGGAUGGACG
rnacentral:rRNA from 1 species